rnacentral:rRNA from 1 species
ACGGGAGGCAGCAGUGGGGGAUAUUGCACAAUGGGGGAAACCCUGAUGCAGCGACGCCGCGUGAGUGAUGAAGUAUUUCGGUAUGUAAAGCUCUAUCAGCAGGAAAGAUAAUGACGGUACCUGACUAAGAAGCACCGGCUAAAUACGUGCCAGCAGCCGCGGUAAUACGGAAGGUCCAGGCGUUAUCCGGAUUUAUUGGGUUUAAAGGGAGCGUAGGCGGAUUAUCAAGUCAGUGGUAAAAUCGUGUGGCCCAACCAUACCUCGCCAUUGAAACUGUUAGUCUUGAGUGCACGCAGGGAUGCUGGAAUUCGUUGUGUAGCGGUGAAAUGCUUAGAUAUGACGAAGAACUCCGAUCGCGAAGGCAGGUGUCUGGAGUGCAACUGACGCUGAGGCUCGAAAGUGCGGGUAUCAAACAGGAUUAGAUACCCUGGUA